rnacentral:rRNA from 1 species
GUGAGGAAUAUUGCGCAAUGGGGGCAACCCUGACGCAGCGACGCCGCGUGAGUGAGGAAGGCCUUCGGGUCGUAAAGCUCUGUCAGCAGGGAAGAAGUGCACGGUGGCUAAUAUCCAUUGUGUUUGACGGUACCUGCAAAGGAAGCACCGGCUAACUCCGUGCCAGCAGCCGCGGUAAUACGGAGGGUGCGAGCGUUGUUCGGAAUCACUGGGCGUAAAGGGCGCGCAGGCGGUUUUAUAAGUCAGAUGUGAAAGCCCACGGCUUAACUGUGGAAGUGCAUUUGAAACUGUAAGACUUGAGUACCAGAGGGGAAGGUGGAAUUCCCGGUGUAGAGGUGAAAUUCGUAGAUAUCGGGAGGAAUACCGGUGGCGAAGGCGACCUUCUGGCUGGAUACUGACGCUGAGGCGCGAAAGCGUGGGGAGCAAACAGGAUUAGAAACCCCAGUAGUCC